CCCGCUGAACUUAAGCAUAUCAGUAAGCGAAGGAAAAGAAACUAACAAGGAUUCCCUCAGUAACGGCGAGUGAAGUGGGAAAAGCUCAAGUUUUAAAUCUGGGAGGCCUCCUCUCCGAAUUGUAAACUAUAGAAGUGUUUUCUGUGGCAACGGUAGUAAAAGUUCCUUGGAAAAGGACAUCAAAGAGGGUGACAAUCCCGUACUUGACUACCUCAUUGCUGCUCUACGAUACACUCUCUACGAGUCGGGUUGUUUGGGAAUGCAGCUCAAAAUGGGUGGUAAAUUUCAUCUAAAGCUAAAUAUUGGCAAGAGACCGAUAGCGAACAAGUACCGUGAGGGAAAGAUGAAAAGGACUUUGAAAAGAGAGUUAAAUAGUACGUGAAAUUGUUAAAAGGGAAGCGAUUGAGACCAGUAUUUUUAGCCGGAAUUCAGCCAUGUUUGCUCUGAGCUGCUUGCAACACUACGUGAAGUGGGUAGAUUUGGGGUAAAGAAGGUGUACUUUUCUGCUAAAAAGUCAACAUCAGUUUUACGUGCUGGAUAACGACUUUAGGAAGAUGACCUUGUCUUCGGGCAAGGUUUUAUAGACUUUGGUCAAAACAGUGUGUUGGGACUGAGGACAGCAGUGUAGCUGAAUAAGCAUUUCCGGAACUUGUAUUUUGGUGCUAGUCGAGGCAAGACUACAUAAGCAGACUUGCCCUGACGGUGCCUGAGGAAGAGGAAAGGUUACAUACACUUACGAUGUUGACGAAAUGGUUUUAAACGACCCGUCUUGAAACACGG
rnacentral:rRNA from 1 species